GCUGACGAGUGGCGGACGGGUGAGUAAUGUCUGGGAAACUGCCUGAUGGAGGGGGAUAACUACUGGAAACGGUGGCUAAUACCGCAUAACGUCGCAAGACCAAAGAGGGGGACCUUCGGGCCUCUUGCCAUCAGAUGUGCCCAGAUGGGAUUAGCUAGUUGGUGAGGUAACGGCUCACCAAGGCGACGAUCCCUAGCUGGUCUGAGAGGAUGACCAGCCACACUGGAACUGAGACACGGUCCAGACUCCUACGGGAGGCAGCAGUGGGGAAUAUUGCACAAUGGGCGCAAGCCUGAUGCAGCCAUGCCGCGUGUAUGAAGAAGGCCUUCGGGUUGUAAAGUACUUUCAGCGGGGAGGAAGGUGUUGUGGUUAAUAACCGCAGCAAUUGACGUUACCCGCAGAAGAAGCACCGGCUAACUCCGUGCCAGCAGCCGCGGUAAUACGGAGGGUGCAAGCGUUAAUCGGAAUUACUGGGCGUAAAGCGCACGCAGGCGGUCUGUCAAGUCGGAUGUGAAAUCCCCGGGCUCAACCUGGGAACUGCAUUCGAAACUGGCAGGCUUGAGUCUUGUAGAGGGGGGUAGAAUUCCAGGUGUAGCGGUGAAAUGCGUAGAGAUCUGGAGGAAUACCGGUGGCGAAGGCGGCCCCCUGGACAAAGACUGACGCUCAGGUGCGAAAGCGUGGGGAGCAAACAGGAUUAGAUACCCUGGUAGUCCACGCCGUAAACGAUGUCUACUUGGAGGUUGUGCCCUUGAGGCGUGGCUUCCGGAGCUAACGCGUUAAGUAGACCGCCUGGGGAGUACGGCCGCAAGGUUAAAACUCAAAUGAAUUGACGGGGGCCCGCACAAGCGGUGGAGCAUGUGGUUUAAUUCGAUGCAACGCGAAGAACCUUACCUGGUCUUGACAUCCACAGAAGAAUCCAGAGAUGGAUUUGUGCCUUCGGGAACUGUGAGACAGGUGCUGCAUGGCUGUCGUCAGCUCGUGUUGUGAAAUGUUGGGUUAAGUCCCGCAACGAGCGCAAC
rnacentral:rRNA from 1 species